rnacentral:rRNA from 1 species
GUCAUCAUGGCCCUUACGUGUAGGGCUACACACGUGCUACAAUGGCGCAUACAGAGUGCUGCGAACUCGCGAGAGUAAGCGAAUCACUUAAAGUGCGUCGUAGUCCGGAUUGGAGUCUGCAACUCGACUCCAUGAAGUCGGAAUCGCUAGUAAUCGCGUAUCAGAAUGACGCGGUGAAUACGUUCCCGGGCCUUGUACACACCGCCCGUCACACCAUGGGAGUGGGUUGCUCCAGAAGUAGAUAGUCUAACCCUCGGGAGGACGUUUACCACGGAGUGAUUCAUGACUGGGGUGAAGUCGUAACAAGGUAGCCCUAGGGGAACCUGGGGCUGGAUCACCUCCUUAUACGA